rnacentral:rRNA from 1 species
AACGAACGCUGGCGGCAGGCUUAACACAUGCAAGUCGAACGCCCCGCAAGGGGAGUGGCAGACGGGUGAGUAACGCGUGGGAACAUACCCUUUCCUGCGGAAUAGCUCCGGGAAACUGGAAUUAAUACCGCAUACGCCCUACGGGGGAAAGAUUUAUCGGGGAAGGAUUGGCCCGCGUUGGAUUAGCUAGUUGGUGGGGUAAAGGCCUACCAAGGCGACGAUCCAUAGCUGGUCUGAGAGGAUGAUCAGCCACAUUGGGACUGAGACACGGCCCAAACUCCUACGGGAGGCAGCAGUGGGGAAUAUUGGACAAUGGGCGCAAGCCUGAUCCAGCCAUGCCGCGUGAGUGAUGAAGGCCUUAGGGUUGUAAAGCUCUUUCACCGGAGAAGAUAAUGACGGUAUCCGGAGAAGAAGCCCCGGCUAACUUCGUGCCAGCCGCCGCCGUAA